GAUCCUCCCACCCUUUGUGUACCUACCUCUGUUGCUUUGGCGGGCCGCGGUCCUCCGCGGCCGCCCCCCUCCCCGGGGGGUGGCCAGCGCCCGCCAGAGGACCAUCAAACUCCAGUCAGUAAACGAUGCAGUCUGAAAAACAUUUAAUAAACUAAAACUUUCAACAACGGAUCUCUUGGUUCUGGCAUCGAUGAAGAACGCAGCGAAAUGCGAUAAGUAAUGUGAAUUGCAAAAUUCAGUGAAUCAUCGAAUCUUUGAACGCACAUUGCGCCCUUUGGUAUUCCGAAGGGCAUGCCUGUUCGAGCGUCAUUACAACCCUCAAGCUCUGCUUGGUAUUGGGCACCGUCCUUUGCGGGCGCGCCUCAAAGACCUCGGCGGUGGCGUCUUGCCUCAAGCGUAGUAGAACAUACAUCUCGCUUCGGAGCGCAGGGCGUCGCCCGCCGGACGAACCUUCUGAACUUUUCUCAAGGUUGACCUCGGAUCAGGUAGGGAUACCCGCUGAACUUAAGCAUAUCAAUAA
rnacentral:rRNA from 1 species